ACCGCAAACUGAUGAUCAUGGAUGUCUUCCGAAAGUUCCUUGUAGCCGCACAAGCAUCCGACCUCUACGGGUAUCCACAUGAGACUUUAAUCUGAUUAGAAGUCUUUUGAUCUCACUAGGGUGCUAGCUCCCUUAUAGAGAUCUCAUCUUGAUGGUUAAAAUUUUUUUUUUCUCUCAAGACACUCUUAGAGAAGAACAUAGGAAGACCUUGAUCUCUAUGCUAGAGAUCAUGAGAAGAACCCUUUCUUCUCUUUUCCUCUUAAAAUUCAUGCA
rnacentral:lncRNA from 1 species